UUUGCUUCCUAAUGAAAUUAUUUUUUUAUUAUACCACUCUUUCCAAACGAGUAUGCCGUAGAUGCUUAAAUUGAUAUUUAUUUAUAUAUGACCAAUUUAUAGUACAUCGAAAUUUUCUGGAAACAUCUGUGACAAGUUAUAUUGUAUGUUUAGUCUCUACAAUUUGCUCUGAUUGGUUCUGCUUUUGACAUGUGUAGCCAAGGACAAUUUUUUUUUAUAGGAUUAGGAGGCCUCAUUAAAAACCUCCCUCUUAGUUGGCUCUUGAAAAGAGGCAGUUGGCUCUUAAAAAGAGGCAACUAGCAAAAGGAGGAAAAUAGUACCUCAGUUUAUUGAUAAUUCAAUAAUACAUAAGAUUACACCAUUACACUUUAAACAACCAUAAAUAAUAAACCCAAAUAAUACAUCAAUAAAACCCAAAACAUUCAUUCAAUCCCCUCCUUAGCUAAUUUAUCUGCCUCCCAAUUACAGCUCCUAGGAAUCAGUCUAACAAUAAUCUCCCUAGCAGAAACUAAGGCCCCAAUUUCCCCAACCCAAGAACUGCAAAACGAAGGGGCAGAAAAUGGCAACAAAAUCGAGUCAACUGUAGAUUUGCAAUCACUCUCUAUGAUCAGUCUUCCCUUCAAUGCCCAGGAAGAUGAAAGAAAAAAAUCAAUGCCUUUUUUAAUGGCUUUCAACUCAGCCAAAGGAGGACCUGGACCAACACCAUUAGAGAAAGUGGCUAAAGUACUACUAUUACAGCCCGUUUGGUUCACGGAUUUCUUCAUUCUAGGAGGAAUUUUUUUUCCCGGAUUAAGAUACCCAUGUUUGGAUAUGCCAUAUUCCCAAGUGAGGGUGAAAACUAAAUACCAACAGUGGUUUUUUUGUUCUGUUUAACUGGGAAUCCAAAUACCAUGUCUCCCUUAGGUAUUUGUUUAUUCCCGUCCUCUGUUGGCUAAAAUACCCUUCUCCCCGUUAGCUUGGUUCUGGCUGAAACAAAAUUUCUUCUUCUUCAAUUUGGCAAGAGUUGCAAAGAUCUGUCCAUUAUUUCUCCAACAGACUUCUUCUGUGGUUCUCUAGCUCUAUCUGCUAAUAUGUUGCUAGGUUUGUCUCUCUCUCUCUCCCUAUUUGUAGUUUUUGUUCCUCCCCAGUAGUACUAUUAAAUCCACGCGUUUCUAUUAUUCACAGGUUACUCCUUCAUCUUUGUCUUCUCAGUUCUAUCUUGUCUAGCACUCGAUCUUGAACUGGGCUUUGAUGGGUCUUUGGUUUCGAGUUUAGUUAUUUCGUUUGAUUCAUCGACUUGAUGGUUGAAUUUGAAAAUUGGGUUUUCAUGGUCUAGGGAAACAAUUGUUCGCUUCCUUUCAUGGUCUAGGGAAACAAAGGUUUAGGGUUAUUUUGAAUUAUUUUCAUUAAACGUAACUAAUCAUUUUUCUCAGUGGUUCUUUUGAGUUAUUUUCCUAGCAUCAUAUUCUAUCCUUCCAUUAUUUAGUGGGUUUAUUUGGGGGGGUUAAAUGGAGGUCUUGAUACAUCACCUGGAUGGAAUUCAGGAGGUUGAUAAGUCUUGGUUGAGCCCCGUUCUCUCCAUUGUUGCAUUUACAUCAUAACUUGGUUUCUGAUAAUUGUCUGUUAGAAAGCAAAGUUAAUUCUUGGGUGAAAAACUGUAGUUGCAAUUCUUGUUCAAGAGUUACACGGUUCCCUCGCUACAAUGACCCAUUAAAGCUUGUAGAAACAAGAAAGGGGCGUUGUGGAGAGUGGGCCAAUUGCUUCACAUUGUAUUGUCGUGCUUUUGGCUAUGACUCUCGUAUGGUGGAUGCAUCUUGAUCCUUGUGAAGCAAUCUAUGACAUACCAUUAUUAUAUGAAAAAAGAAGAUGAGUUUAUGAUGUUACUAAACGUUACACACGGGAUUGGAAUGAGGUUUUGUCUCGACGAACCAUUACCAGAGAGUCCUCUAUGGUGUCUGCUCUCACUUCAAUGACCAAAGAAUGCCGAAGUAACUUUACAUCUCAAAUUCUUUCAGUAUUGGAAGACCGUGACAAAAUUGAAAGGGAAGCUCUGGACAGAGAUUUACUUUCUACUGAUGAUGCUCCGAUCUCUUUACCUGGGAGGCAAAGUGGGGAUAAGCAAUGGCGCAUUGCAAGAUCAUAAUUUGGGACUAACUCUCUGAGUUCAUCUUCUUGUGAAGUUCGCAUAUGCAGAGACGAGCACGUCACAAAAAUCUAUAAUGCAUUUUCUUCUAUACUUCAUAAGUUUUUUGAAUAAUAUGUAAUUGCUUCAAAAGGUGUUGAAGUUCUCAAGAUUCUUAGAGCAACCGUUGUAGAUCUCAAUAAAUUACCGUAUAAAAAAAUGAGAGCUUCUUUAAAGUCAAACUCAAUUGUUGGCACAUCUUUGUUGCAUCGGUUGCUGCCCUCCUUUAAGGAAUUUCUUAAUGCUCUUUCACUG